CGACGUCACACAAAGCCGAUGAAGUCAGGAAGUAACAGGAAGUAAUUGCAGGACGUUUAUUUCUGUUGAUCCAGCUUGAAGAUGCCUAAAGUCCGCGUCCUAUACAGUUUUAACAACCGUUUUAAUAGUGAGAAAGAUAAACGUUGGAAGGUAGUUUUUCACAAGGGAGUUAAUUUAAAACAAAACAAAACAAACAAAAAAACGUACCGAAAAAAGACGAGAAAAGUGGAUCAACAACCUACGGCUAAAAACAAGAGGUGCGCAAGCUAGCAAUGCCAGUUUGCAUUCCACUUUCUAACAGAUUUUCAUCUGAGGAAGGUUUCUGCUUGAAAGAAAAUAACUGGAGCCUUGAAAACAAUGGGUUGUAAAAAAAGAACUGCUGAGGAUAACAGCAGAGGAAGAUGAAGGGAUCCGUCCAUCCCAGCAGGAGGAUGAGCAGUCCAACCACAGCUGCAAGGAAGUACUGUGGUUAGAGAUGAAACGAGAUUGAGAUAACUUUAUCUUAUUAUAUAAAUAUAUUCAACAAGCUUUCCUGUGGAAAACAGAGGUAUGCACAUAUGCAGAGAACUGCAUUAAAAGUUUUAAAAAGCUUUAUGUGUAUGUUUUUAGUUACCUAAGUGAAUGUAUUCCUUUUGGACAGUGCUUUACAAAAGUAAUCUCUUGAAGGGCAAACUACUAAUUUUUUAUUAGGCAUGUUUUGUGAAGUGGGAGGAAGAUGGGGUGUUUUUUAGACUAGUUCACAAAUAAAAGUCAAUUUUAGCCAUUUCAAAAAUCCUUCAGUAAAACCCAGUACAACCCAGAAACAGUCUAUUAGUAAUGAAUACAGUCCAUCUGUUUGUAAUUUAAGCUCAGGAUGAACCCUGUCUAUAGCUGAGUUUCAAUUACAAAUGUGUGCAAACCUCUGUCAAUAUUCUGCUAAUGUUGUAAAAACACAAUUUCAUAAUUGAGGUGUUUUGAUUAGAUAAAAAAAAAAAACGCAAUUAAAAUCACAUGUGUAUAAGUGUGUUCAUGCAGUAGGUCAUUAAAAAACAUGCCAUGUUAUUCUUCC